UAAAACAAAAUAAAAUAAAAAAUAAAAAUAAAAUAUUUAAAUUUCUUAAAAUUUCGGAGCCAAGGUACGCUAGUUUAAACACGUUGUUCUCGUCCUACCGAAGCAUCAAACGUUUGAUCGAGUUGCCAGCUAGCGGGGGUCAGCAUUAACCAACCUAAAAAUAACGGCAUUCCUUACCUAACAGAUCAUUGACCCACUAACUGGCUGUCAGUCUAGUCAUUAUGUUUCCAACAGACUGAUCAGUAUCCCUUGCCAUCCACUUAUUCCAUACGUAUCUCACAUCAACGCCGAGGUUCCCAACCUGAAUCCCUUUCACAACCAUGGCAAUUAAUCAGGAUCUGCUGAAUACACAUCGCGAACAUAGGUGAUUUACCGUUUCUCCCUCAAUUCUGCAGAGCACACAGAUUGUGUUCCCUAUCCAUCCCCUUUUAAUGAAAACUAAUAAA
rnacentral:lncRNA from 1 species